CGUACACUCCUGCGGGAGGCAGCAGUGGGGAAUAUUGCACAAUGGGCGCAAGCCUGAUGCAGCCAUGCCGCGUGUAUGAAGAAGGCCUUCGGGUUGUAAAGUACUUUCAGCGGGGAGGAAGGCGAUAAGGUUAAUAACCUUGUUGAUUGACGUUACCCGCAGAAGAAGCACCGGCUAACUCCGUGCCAGCAGCCGCGGUAAUACGGAGGGUGCAAGCGUUAAUCGGAAUUACUGGGCGUAAAGCGCACGCAGGCGGUCUGUCAAGUCGGAUGUGAAAUCCCCGGGCUCAACCUGGGAACUGCAUUCGAAACUGGCAGGCUAGAGUCUUGUAGAGGGGGGUAGAAUUCCAGGUGUAGCGGUGAAAUGCGUAGAGAUCUGGAGGAAUACCGGUGGCGAAGGCGGCCCCCUGGACAAAGACUGACGCUCAGGUGCGAAAGCGUGGGGAGCAAACAGGAUUAGAAACCCCAGUAGUCCCAUGA
rnacentral:rRNA from 1 species